CUGCUCGGUAUAAGAUUUUGGCUCAAGUUUGCCAAUUGGAUGCAUGAAGUCUGAGGAGUGAGAUGUCACGAGAAGUUUGGUGAGGAAGGAAACAAGUAUUUCUGACACACCACAUGCCAAAUGUAUGCCAUCUCAAAAGAUUUAGCCAUCUAUCUCCAUAAACGAGGAUACCUACCGUUUUUGGCGGUUGAACCGGUUACACCAAAUAGCCGGUUUAGUGAAGAUCAUGUUCAAUGGUUGGUUAUGGAUAUCUUACAGUUUUGCGAAUUUCAACCUACAACUCGUUUUACAUAUACCAUGUUGGUCAUGGAUUUCUCUUGCAUUGUUUACAAACCACUACCAUAAGUGUUCCCAAGUUCCAACCAGCAACCAUGACCACUUCUGGUUACCGCCACUCUCAGCAUCACUCGCAUCUUGAAGGUAAAGGUAGAGAUAGAUAUAUAGUU